rnacentral:lncRNA from 1 species
AGGUGCUGACAAGGCUGGAAAAGUAGGUGCCUCUUCGAUUUCUGAGAUCGACCCUCGUGGUCUCUGAAUAGCCCAGCUUUUGAGAAAGCAAACCUCUUCGAUUUCUGAGAUCGGCCCUAGUGGUCUCUGAGCAGCCCAGCUUUUGAGAAAGCAAACCUCUUCGAUUUCUGAGAUCGGCCCUCGUGGUCUCUGAGCAGCCCAGCUUUUGAGAAAGCAAACCUCUUCGAUUUCUGAGAUCGGCCUUCGUGGUCUUUGAGCAGCCCAGCUUUUGAGAAAGCAAACGCCUCUUCGAUUUUUGAGAUCGACCCUCGUGGUCUCUGAGCAGCCCAGCUUUUGAGAAAG